rnacentral:rRNA from 1 species
GACGAACGCUGGCGGCGUGCUUAACACAUGCAAGUCGAACGGAAAGGCCCUGCGUUUGUGGGGUGCUCGAGUGGCGAACGGGUGAGUAACACGUGAGUAACCUGCCCUUGACUUUGGGAUAACUUCAGGAAACUGGGGCUAAUACCGGAUAGGAGCUCCUGCUGCAUGGUGGGGGUUGGAAAGUGUCGGCGGUGGGGGAUGGACUCGCGGCUUAUCAGCUUGUUGGUGGGGUAGUGGCUUACCAAGGCUUUGACGGGUAGCCGGCCUGAGAGGGUGACCGGCCACAUUGGGACUGAGAUACGGCCCAGACGCCUACGGGAGGCAGCAGUGGGGAAUAUUGCACAAUGGGCGGAAGCCUGAUGCAGCAACGCCGCGUGCGGGAUGACGGCCUUCGGGUUGUAAACCGCUUUCGCCUGUGACGAAGCGUGAGUGACGGUAAUGGGUAAAGAAGCACCGGCUAACUACGUG